AACGAACGCUGGCGGCAUGCCUAACACAUGCAAGUCGAACGAAGCCUUCUGGCUUAGUGGCUCACGUGUGCGUAACGCGUGGGAAUCUGCGCCUGUCUUCGGAAUAACAGUUAGAAAUGACUGCUAAUACCGGAUGAAGUCUUCGGACCAAAGAUUGAUCGGCAAGGGAUGAGCCGGCGUAGGAGUAGGUAGUUGGUGUGGUAAAGGCCUACCAAGCCGACGAUCCUUAGCUGGUCUGAGAGGAUGAUCAGCCACACUGGGACUGAGACACGGCCCAGACUCCUACGGGAGGCAGCAGUGGGGAAUAUUGGACCAUGGACGCAAGUCUGAUCCAGCCAUGCCGCGUGAGUGAUGAAGGCCUUAGGGUUGUAAAGCUCUUUUACCAGGGAUGAUAAUGACAGUACCUGGAGAAUAAGCUCCGGCUAACUACGUG
rnacentral:rRNA from 1 species